rnacentral:misc_RNA from 1 species
UCACUAAUCAAGCCCGGCUUGCUGUUGGACCCAUUUUUGUCGUGAAAAACGACAGGUCCAAAAGAUAAUGACGGUGUUAUUUGGACCCUAGAUGCAACGAGCUUUUAUUAGCACGCGUUUAGUAGGACCUUUUAACCCGGUCUCUUUAACCAUUUUUCUAA